CCUACGGGGGGCAGCAGUAGGGAAUAUUGCUCAAUGGGGGAAACCCUGAAGCAGCAACGCCGCGUGGAGGAUGAAGGCUUUCGGAUUGUAAACUUCUUUUGUUAGAGAAGAUAAUGACGGUAUCUAACGAAUAAGCACCGGCGAACACCGUGCCAGCAGCCGCGGUAAUAUGGAGGGGGCAAGCGUUAUUCGGAAUGUCUGGGCGUAAAGAGCGCGUAGACGGGAUAGCAAGUCAGAUGUGAAAUCCUAUGGCUUAACCAUAGAACUGCAUUUGAAACUGUUGGUCUAGAGUGUGGGAGAGGUAGGUGGAAUUCUUGGUGUAGCGGUCAAAUCCGUAGAGAUUAGGAGGAAUACUCAUGGCGAAGGCGGCCUGCUGGAACAUAACUGACGGUGAGGCGCGAAAGCGUGGGGAGCAAACAGGAUUAGAUACCCGGGUAGUC
rnacentral:rRNA from 1 species